rnacentral:ncRNA from 1 species
UUCCGCGAGGAAGGGUCUGAAGGAAGCCGUUAGCCCCCUUGAUUUAACAAAAUGCGAGUUGAUGAACAAAUUCAUCGAUGAGGCGUAGGCUCGAUCCGGGUUGGCAUAAGACGACGAAGCCAAGUGAUUUAAGAUCCAGUAAAUGAUGUUGUUGUGCAGUGAAAGUUCA